AAACCAUCAAGCACUGCUUGGCUUUGGACCCGGGCCUCGAGGAGCGCCCGGUUUGAAACCGACUGAGUGGCGUUCCCGUCGAGCCUUAAGCGUAGCAAGAAUUACUCCCUCGCUUCAAAGGCCUCGGGCGGGACCUGCCCCAAAAAGUUACCUCCAAA
rnacentral:misc_RNA from 1 species